rnacentral:rRNA from 1 species
CGGGGUGAGUAACACGUAUCCAACCUGCCGCCUACUCGGGGGAUAGCCUUUCGAAAGAAAGAUUAAUACCCGAUGGUAUAAAGAGUUCGCAUGGUUCUCUUUAUAAAGAAUUUCGGUAAGCGAUGGGGAUGCGUUCCAUUAGAUUGUUGGCGGGGUAACGGCCCACCAAGUCUACGAUGGAUAGGGGGUUCUGAGAGGAAGGUCCCCCACAUUGGAACUGAGACACGGUCCAAACUCCUACGGGAGGCAGCAGUGAGGAAUAUUGGUCAAUGGACGAGAGUCUGAACCAGCCAAGUAGCGUGAAGAUGACUGCCCUAUGGGUUGUAAACUUCUUUUAUAAGGGAAUAAAGUGAGGGACGUGUCCCUUUUUGUAUGUACCUUAUGAAUAAGGAUCGGCUAACUCCGUGCCAGCCGCGGC